rnacentral:rRNA from 1 species
GAUGAACGCUGGCGGCGUGCCUAAUACAUGCAAGUCGAGCGAACAGAUCAGGAGCUUGCUCCUCUGACGUUAGCGGCGGACGGGUGCGUAACACGUGGAUAACCUACCUCUAAGACUGGGAUACCAUCGCGAAACCAGAGCUAAUACCGGAUAAUAUAUUGCACCGCAUUGUUCACUAGUGAAAGACGGUUUUUCUGUCACUUAUAGCUGGAUCCGCGCCGUAUUAGUUAGUUGGUAAGGUAACGGCUUACCAAGGCGACGAUGCGUAGCCGACCUAAGGGGACGAUCCACAACUCGGCAGCUAGGACGCGCUCCAAACCCGGAAGUGAGACAGGAGCAGGAAUUCUUCCGCAAGGGCGAAAGCGUGAUGGAGCAACGCCGCGGGAGUGAUGAAGGUCUUCGGAUGGGUAAACGAUGUAGGCAGUGAAGAAGAAAAGUGUAUGUAACUAGGCACGUAAUGACGGUACCGGAUGAGUAAGCCCCGGCUAACUACGUG